rnacentral:rRNA from 1 species
AUUGAACGCUGGCGGCAUGCCUUACACAUGCAAGUCGAACGGUAACGCGGGGCAACCUGGCGACGAGUGGCGAACGGGUGAGUAAUGCAUCGGAACGUGCCCAGUUGUGGGGGAUAACUGCUCGAAAGAGCAGCUAAUACCGCAUACGACCUGAGGGUGAAAGCGGGGGAUCGCAAGACCUCGCGCAAUUGGAGCGGCCGAUGUCGGAUUAGCUAGUUGGUGGGGUAAAGGCCCACCAAGGCGACGAUCCGUAGCUGGUCUGAGAGGACGACCAGCCAGACUGGGACUGAGACACGGCCCAGACUCCUACGGGAGGCAGCGGUGGGGAAUUUUGGACAAUGGACGCAAGUCUGAUCCAGCCAUGCCGCGUGCGGGAAGAAGGCCUUCGGGUUGUAAACCGCUUUUGUCAGGGAAGAAAUCUUCUGGGUUAAUACCUCGGGAGGAUGACGGUACCUGAAGAAUAAGCACCGGCUAACUACGUGCCAGCCGCCGCAGUAACAC